AACUUUUGGCAACGGAUCACUUGGUUCCCGCAUCGAUGAAGAACGCAGCGAAAUGCGAUAAGUAAUGUGAAUUGCAGAAUUCAGUGAAUCAUCGAAUCUUUGAACGCACAUUGCGCCCCCUGGUAUUCCGGGGGGCAUGCCUGUUCGAGCCUCAAUGAAUCCUCUCCACCGCCCGAGAGCUUCCCUCCCUGCGGAGGCGGCAAUCGGCGGUGGGGUCGUGGUGGACGCACACGCCCCGAGAAACGCGUGCGCGCCGCUGGAAUCACCGGUCCGCGGGCCAGCAGGGCGCAGACCCGGCGUAGUGAGUACCAUUCUCGCCGGCGACUCGCGCCCCUCAAAAAGCGUCCCGGGACCUCUAAGCGCUCCGGCGUCGGACCCCCAAAGUGGUUGAGCUCGGAUCAGGUAGGGAUACCCGCUGAACUUAAGCAUAUCAAUAAGCGGAGGCU
rnacentral:misc_RNA from 1 species